rnacentral:rRNA from 1 species
UACCCUGGUAGUCCACGCCGUAAACGAUGUCGAUUUGGAGGUUGUGCCCUUGAGGCGUGGCUUCCGGAGCUAACGCGUUAAAUCGACCGCCUGGGGAGUACGGCCGCAAGGUUAAAACUCAAAUGAAUUGACGGGGGCCCGCACAAGCGGUGGAGCAUGUGGUUUAAUUCGAUGCAACGCGAAGAACCUUACCUGGUCUUGACAUCCACAGAACUUACCAGAGAUGCCUUGGUGCCUUCGGGAACUGUGAGACAGGUGCUGCAUGGCUGUCGUCAGCUCGUGUUGUGAAAUGUUGGGUUAAGUCCCGCAACGAGCGCAACCCUUAUCCUUUGUUGCCAGCGGUUAGGCCGGGAACUCAAAGGAGACUGCCAGUGAUAAACUGGAGGAAGGUGGGGAUGACGUCAAGUCAUCAUGGCCCUUACGACCAGGGCUACACACGUGCUACAAUGGCAUAUACAAAGAGAAGCGACCUCGCGAGAGCAAGCGGACCUCAUAAAGUAUGUCGUAGUCCGGAUUGGAGUCUGCAACUCGACUCCAUGAAGUCGGAAUCGCUAGUAAUCGUAGAUCAGAAUGCUACGGUGAAUACGUUCCCGGGCCUUGUACACACCGCCCGUCACACCAUGGGAGUGGGUUGCAAAAGAAGUAGGUA